CUUACCAAAAAAAAAAACAAAAAAAAUCCGUUGUCACGCCGUGCCUCUACACCAGUAGGGGCGCAGCUGUCUUAGGGAAAAGUAGGCCCCCAGUGCGGCGGCUUUCCUAAGCGAGAGAGGCUACACCAAAUCUAGAGAAGCGCGUGCGUCUGUGCACGUGAGGGAGUUUCAUCUUGUAACAAAAAAACAACAAUU
rnacentral:misc_RNA from 1 species